AAGCGGAGGAAAAGAAACCAACAGGGAUUACCUCAGUAACGGCGAGUGAAGCGGUAACAGCUCAAAUUUGAAAUCUGGCCGCAAGGUCCGAGUUGUAAUUUGUAGAGGAUGUUUCGAGCAUGGUCUGGCCUAAGUUCCUUGGAACAGGACGUCAUAGAGGGUGAGAAUCCCGUAUGCGGUCAGGUGCCUACGCUCAUGUGAAACUCCUUCGACGAGUCGAGUUGUUUGGGAAUGCAGCUCAAAAUGGGUGGUAAAUUUCAUCUAAAGCUAAAUAUUGGCCAGAGACCGAUAGCGCACAAGUAGAGUGAUCGAAAGAUGAAAAGCACUUUGGAAAGAGAGUUAAACAGUACGUGAAAUUGUUGAAAGGGAAGCGCUUGCAACCAGACUUGCGCGCGGCUGAUCAUCCGGGCUUCUGCCCGGUGCACUCGGUCGCGCUCAGGCCAGCAUCGGUUUUGGUGGCGGGAUAAAGGCCUUGGGAAUGUAGCUCCUCUCGGGGAGUGUUAUAGCCCAGGGUGCAAUGCCGCCUACCGGGACCGAGGACCGCGCUUCGGCUAGGAUGCUGGCGUAAUGGUUGUAAGCGACCCGUCUUGAACCACCGGACCCCA
rnacentral:rRNA from 1 species